rnacentral:rRNA from 1 species
CCUACGGGUGGCAGCAGUGAGGAAUAUUGGUCAAUGGCCGAGAGGCUGAACCAGCCAAGUCGCGUGAGGGAAGACGGCCCUACGGGUUGUAAACCUCUUUUGUCGGGGAGCAAAGCGAGUCACGUGUGACUCAUUGAGAGUACCCGAAGAAAAAGCAUCGGCUAACUCCGUGCCAGCAGCCGCGGUAAUACGGAGGAUGCGAGCGUUAUCCGGAUUUAUUGGGUUUAAAGGGUGCGCAGGCGGAAGAUCAAGUCAGCGGUAAAAUUGAGAGGCUCAACCUCUUCGAGCCGUUGAAACUGGUUUUCUUGAGUGAGCGAGAAGUAUGCGGAAUGCGUGGUGUAGCGGUGAAAUGCAUAGAUAUCACGCAGAACUCCGAUUGCGAAGGCAGCAUACCGGCGCUCAACUGACGCUCAUGCACGAAAGUGUGGGUAUCGAACAGGAUUAGAUACCCUUGUAGUC